CCUGACUAGGGGAGCAAGGAAGCUCAUGAAAAAGCGCUGAAAAUUUCAUCCUUGUUUAUUCUGCAAAAAAUUUGACAGGAUGAGUCCUUAAAGGAAGAUCAGGCGGCGUUUGGAAUUACAAGAAUGAGAAUGAAUUAUGAAGAAUAAAAUUUGCGGGUACAUUGUCCAGAUCGAUGUAACUACUUAAUCAUCAGCAGUACAAAGUUAACAUUAGUUGAGAACUUCACACUGUACAUGAAGAUUAAAAUAAAAAAAUAAAAAAAGAAAAAGAAAUUUUAGGACUGGUCUGGUCUGUUGCGAGGAGAGUGGUCUGUUCUGUUGUGAGGAAUUACACUACAUGUAUGGAAUGUUGUAGGUUGGUUUGUGCAUAGUUUGUAUAUACAAACUAUAUAUAGUUACUGAAUUAUUUAUGUGGAUAGCUAAGAAAAUGGUUAUUUCAGGGAGGUAUUCUUGAA